AAUUGCACUCCUCGGUUAAUCGUCAGUUAACGUGUCCUUCUCACACAUCACGCUUUGGUAACAAAAUUAUACUACUUUUCUACGUUUCGAAAUAGCUUUUCCAUGUUUUUUGUUAUGAUUAUCACGCUGACGCAGUUAGCGUCCAUGGAAUGCAGCACGCUGCAUUUUCAUAGGAUUAAAUACGAUGGACAAAUAUGGAUGUUCCAAGUUACUUUGCCGAUGAGGAGUACAGAGGAAAGUUUCAAUUUAUUGACCCUUGAACAGAUUUAACACUAUUUAGUUUUGCAAUGUUCGGUGCUUAGUGGCCCUCUGUCGAUUCAAUUCAAAUCUGUUACGCGUUACCAAAACUGAAGUUAUUUAUGAAACAAUGGCAGAAAAAUAAGAAUAUUAAAAUUGAAGUCGUUAGUAAAUAUGGAAGUGUUGAAGUUAAUGUUAUUUCUCUCGAUUUGGCAUUACCGAAGGUUGGCAAACGUUCGGAACUUAUCUGAUCCAUGUCCACACGUGGCAUGCAAAGAUAGACAAGAUUCUUUUCUAGAUAAAGAUUUCGAUCAGAGUAAAUAUUGAACAACCUAUUAUUCAUUAUUCGCGAAAUAAAAAUUCCAGUUUGUAAAUUACGGUUUGUAAACGUUAUAAAUAAAUCGUUAUACUGCAUUA